AUGGCGUCAAAUAUGGCGGUAAAUGUAACUUGGAAAGAUUUACUUGCAGAAACACUGGACAUGAAUUAUCUUAAGUAAGAUGAUGAUAAAUGCAUGAUCCACUACUAUGAUUUGGGUUCAAUUUCCACUGGUUAUUCUCUCAGUGUUUUUGUUCCUGUUUGGAAGAGGCAGCACCAUCCAGAUGUCCUUGACAGCUUCCUUCACCAUGUCCCGUGACCCUUCUUGCAUCCACACCACCAGCAUAUCAAACACCACUGCACUCCAAUGCAUCACACCUACUGGGAACUGUGACCAAUGGAUACAAGUAUCUGUCAUGGAACCUGUUCUCUUCACAGGAGUCCGACUGGCAGCAGAUGGACUGAACACAGAUUCAGAUGCAUUGCAAGCGUUCAAAAUAGGUUAUUCACAUGAUGCUUUGACCUGGAAACAUCUUAAUGAAAAAACACUAAAAAAGAAGA